UAGAAUGUGGUGUAAAAGGAAACACAGAGAAAUUUGAGUUCUUUAAUAUGGGUUCGAAUCCUAUUGUUCUAG
rnacentral:tRNA from 1 species